GAUGAACGCUGGCGGCGUGCCUAAUACAUGCAAGUCGAGCGAACAGACGAGGAGCUUGCUCCUCUGACGUUAGCGGCGGACGGGUGAGCAACACGUGGAUAACCUACCUAUAAGACUGGGAUAACUUCGGGAAACCGGAGCUAAUACCGGAUAAUAUAUUGAACCGCAUGGUUCAAUAGUGAAAGACGGUUUUGCUGUCACUUAUAGAUGGAUCCGCGCCGCAUUAGCUAGUUGGUAAGGUAACGGCUUACCAAGGCAACGAUGCGUAGCCGACCUGAGAGGGUGAUCGGCCACACUGGAACUGAGACACGGUCCAGACUCCUACGGGAGGCAGCAGUAGGGAAUCUUCCGCAAUGGGCGAAAGCUUGACGGAGCAACGCCGCGUGAGUGAUGAAGGUCUUCGGAUCGUAAAACUCCGUUAUUAGGGAAGAACAAAUGUGUAAGUAACUAUGCACGUCUUGACGGUACCUAAUCAGAAAGCCACGGCUAACUACGUG
rnacentral:rRNA from 1 species